UACGUAGGGUGCGAGCGUUGUCCGGAAUUAUUGGGCGUAAAGAGCGUGUAGGCGGUCCGGUAAGUCCGCUGUGAAAGUCGGGGGGCUCAACCCUCGAAUGCCGGUGGAUACUGUCGGGCUAGAGCACGGUAGAGGCAGAUGGAAUUCCCGGUGUAGCGGUGGAAUGCGUAGAGAUCGGGAAGAACAUCAGUGGCGAAGGCGGUCUGCUGGGCCGUUGCUGACGCUGGAGGCGCGACAGCGUGGGGAGCAAACAGG
rnacentral:rRNA from 1 species